rnacentral:rRNA from 1 species
CCCGCACAAGCAGCGGAGCGUGUGGUUUAAUUCGAUGUUACACGAAGAACCUUACCAGGGUUGACAUGCAAGUGGUAGGAAACCGAAAGGUGACCGACCCUUCGGGGAGCUUGCACAGGUGCUGCAUGGCUGUCGUCAGCUCGUGUCGUGAGAUGUUCGGUUAAGUCCGCUAACGAGCGCAACCCUCGCUGUGUGUUAUAUGUGUCACACGGGACUGCCGGUCUUAAGCCGGAGGAAGGUGGGGAUGAUGUCAAGUCAGCAUGGCCUUUAUAUCCUGGGCUACACACACGCUACAAUGGCCAACACAAUAGGUUGCUAAGCCGCGAGGUGGCGCCAAUCCAUAAAGUUGGUCUCAGUUCAGAUUGUAGGCUGCAACCCGCCUGCAUGAAGAUGGAGUUGCUAGUAACCGCAGGUCAGCUAUACUGCGGUGAAUACGUUCCCGGGGCUU